AGCAGGAUGGCCUAGUGGAUAAAGCAUGGGCCUGGGAAUCAGAAGGAUCUGGGUUCCAAUCCCAGCUCUGCCA
rnacentral:tRNA from 1 species